GUCACUUUGGCGGAGUGGUUAACGCGUUGCCCUGCUACUUUUACAAGAGCUAGCAAGCUUAGGCAAUUCCCUCGGGAGCACAGGUUCGAAUCCUGUAGGUGACG